rnacentral:miRNA from 1 species
UGAGUUGGCCAAAAAGUUCGUUCGGGUUUUUCUGUAACACCUAACUUUUUGGCCAACCCA